GAAAUGCGAUAAGUAAUGUGAAUCGCAGAAUUCAGUGAAUCAUCGAAUCUUUGAACGCACAUUGCGCCCCUUGGUAUUCCGAGGGGCAUGCCUGUUCGAGCGUCAUUACACCACUCAAGCUAUGCUUGGUAUUGGGUGCCGUCCUUAGUUGGGCGCGCCUUAAAGACCUCGGCGAGGCCUCACCGGCUUUAGGCGUAGUAGAAUUUAUUCGAACGUCUGUCAAAGGAGAGGACUUCUGCCGACUGAAACCUUUUAUUUUUCUAGGUUGACCUCGGAUCAGGUAGGGAUACCCGCUGAACUUAAGC
rnacentral:misc_RNA from 1 species